rnacentral:rRNA from 1 species
AGUGAACGCUGGCGGUAGGCCUAACACAUGCAAGUCGAACGGCAGCACAGUAAGAGCUUGCUCUUACGGGUGGCGAGUGGCGGACGGGUGAGGAAUACAUCGGAAUCUACUUUUUCGUGGGGGAUAACGUAGGGAAACUUACGCUAAUACCGCAUACGACCUACGGGUGAAAGCAGGGGAUCUUCGGACCUUGCGCGAUUGAAUGAGCCGAUGUCGGAUUAGCUAGUUGGCGGGGUAAAGGCCCACCAAGGCGACGAUCCGUAGCUGGUCUGAGAGGAUGAUCAGCCACACUGGAACUGAGACACGGUCCAGACUCCUACGGGAGGCAGCAGUGGGGAAUAUUGGACAAUGGGCGCAAGCCUGCUCCAGCCAUGCCGCGUGGGUGAAGAAGGCCUUCGGGUUGUAAAGCCCUUUUGUUGGGAAAGAAAAGCAGCAGGUUAAUACCCCGCUGUUCUGACGGUACCCAAAGAAUAAGCACCGGCUAACUUCGUG